rnacentral:lncRNA from 1 species
CCAAAAUAAAAGAAAGGUGUGCUUUGUACCACCACUAUUAUUGUAUACUCCUGAUAUGCUGACAUGCUAAUGUGUAGCGUGCAAAUUAAAAUUAUGACUUCAUAUGAAAUUGCACGUUGAUUGCAUUACAUGCGGUGAGCAAAUACAACACGAAAAUGUUCUAUUUGUUUUGAUAGUUGAUACCAAUGAAUCGAUUAAGAAAUAUUUUGUGCAGUUUCACUGAAAAACUAAGAAAUAUAGAGUUAUAUUUCGCUCCAACUCUUUUUGACCCAACGAAAUUAAUCAGCCUUCAAUAUCAAAAGGAUCCUAACUUGUUCAGUAUAGAUCAACAUCCUUUCUCUUUCAUAAGCAGAGAAAAAACGCAUACUAGUUACUGGGUCGCUUUUCUAUGGGACCAAAGCAUUUAUCCUCGUGGAAUCCGAAGAUCCUAAUCCAAACAUAUGACAACUUUGCUUACCACCGAUCGGACUUAGCACAAGUAGCAAAAAAUUUGAUGAUUGGUAUCAGAGGUUUUAAGUUCAAAUUUCAGUUUCUUCACAUUUUUAGUUUAAUUUAUUUCUAAAAAUAAAAUACACGAAACAGAUAACGUGCUAGUUUUUUCUAAAAAGAAAAAUAAUAACAACAAAUACGAAGUAAGGCUCCAACCUUCCAAAACCAAAAAAAAAAAAAA